rnacentral:rRNA from 1 species
UUUAAGGUCUGAUCUGCCCAAUGAGGAAUUAAAUGGCCGCGGUAUUUUGACCGUGCAAAGGUAGCAUAAUAAUUAGUUUUUUAAUUGAAAGCUGGAAUGAAUGAUUGGACGAGAAAAUUACUGUCUCAAAUUAAUUUAAUUAGAAUUUUAUUUUUAAGUAAAAAAGCUUAAAUUUUUUUAAAAGACGAGAAGACCCUGUAGAGUUUUAUAGUUUUAUAUAUAUAUAUAAAUUUUAUAGAAUUUUAAUUUUAUUAUAUAUAAGUUUAUUUUGUUGGGGUGAUAGAAAAAUUGGUUUAACUUUUUUUAUAUUUAAACAUUAAUGUAUGGUUUAAUGAUCCAUUAUUUAUGAUUAUAAGAUUAAAUUACCUUAGGGAUAACAGCGUAAUUUUUUUUUAGAGUUCUUAUCGAAAAAAGAGAUUGCGACCUCGAUGUUGGAUUAAAAUAGACUUUUGGUGUAGGGGCUAAAUAGUUAGGUCUGUUCGACCUUUAAAAUUUUACA